AGGUGAGAAGAUUUGCAGCAAUAUUUGGUGCUAGAGGAAAGACCCUCUUCGACUAGUUUCGAAGUCCUAUUUCAAGACUAGUCCUAAGGUUUUAUUUUGAGAGGAUAGGGAGUUCAACACCGAUCGUCAUGAGGAUGUGCAAAAAAGCAUCAAAUGCAUCACAACGGUCUAAUGGUCAGCAGAUCAAUAAUAUCCAACCGACCACUACAUCACCACCACCGGCAUAGGAGAACCCUCC
rnacentral:lncRNA from 1 species